GCUUAAUGCUUAAUGCAUCAGGCUCAUGACCUGAAGGUUGUAGGUUCAAAUCUUAU
rnacentral:tRNA from 1 species